ACUUGGCUGGCUCAGUUGGUAGGGCAUGUGACUCGAUCUCAUGGUCAUGAGUUCAAGUCCCAUAUUGAGUG
rnacentral:tRNA from 1 species